rnacentral:rRNA from 1 species
UAGGGAAUAUUAGUAAUGGGCGAAAGCCUGAACUAGCAACACCGCGUGUGCGAAGAAGGCCUUCGGGUUGUAAAGCACUUUUUGAGAGGAUGAGGAAGGACGGUACUCUCAGAAUAAGUCUCGGCUAACUACGUGCCAGCAGCCGCGGUAACACGUAGGAGGCAAACGUUAUCCGGAUUUACUGGGCGUAAAGCGCGUGUAGGUGGUUUGGUAAGUAGAGCGUGAAGGCUCCUUGCUCAACUGGGAGAGUGCGUUCUAAACUGCCGGACUAGAGGAUGGUAGAGGGAGGUGGAAUUCCGGGUGUAGCGGUGGAAUGCGCAGAUAUCCGGAGGAACACCAGUGGCGAAAGCGGCCUCCUGACCACUCCUGACACUCAGACGCGAAAGCUAGGGUAGCAAACG